GAUGAACGCUGGCGGCGUGCCUAAUACAUGCAAGUCGAGCGAACAGACGAGGAGCUUGCUCCUCUGACGUUAGCGGCGGACGGGUGAGUAACACGUGGAUAACCUACCUAUAAGACUGGGAUAACUUCGGGAAACCGGAGCUAAUACCGGAUAAUAUAUUGAACCGCAUGGUUCAAUAGUGAAAGACGGUUUUGCUGUCACUUAUAGAUGGAUCCGCGCCGCAUUAGCUAGUUGGUAAGGUAACGGCUUACCAAGGCAACGAUGCGUAGCCGACCUGAGAGGGUGAUCGGCCACACUGAAACUGAGACACGGUCCAGACUCCUACGGGAGGCAGCAGUAGGGAAUCUUACGCAAUGGGCGAAAGCUUGACGGAGCAACGCCGCGUGAGUGAUGAAGGUCUUCGGAUCUUAAAACUCUGUUAUUAGGGAAGAACAAAUGUGUAAGUAACUAUGCACGUCUUGACGGUACCUAAUCAGAAAGCCACGGCUAACUACGUG
rnacentral:rRNA from 1 species